CAAGAACAUUUGGGCCAAAUAUGGGUGAUAGCUGGCACAUGUGGCUGAGGUAUGGCAUGGCUCUACAGAUAUGGGCCAGAUUAUUACCAUAUAUGUUUUGCCAUACAUUCAGAAAAGGCGGGAAUUUUUUUAUAACGCACAGCUCCUUUUGCAGUAUGUGGGCCAGUUAACAAAAACACACAAGAGCCUAGUAAGGCUGAGCUAUGGCCGACAUCGGUUGACAUCAACUUCUGGCUGACUUUGGGAUUGCAUUUGGAAAACACGAGAAACUGAACACAGGUGUAUCGUUAGCAGACAUCUGUCACACCACUCUUCAGUUGACAAAUCUACUCUGCGAGCUUAACAUUCUUCCCGCCUGUCAUUUGCUUCAGGUGCUGUCAGACAGAAUCCCCUCACUCCCCUCACUGAGCAUAAAACAUAAAUAUUUCUGUGAAAUUCAGUCUACAAAAUGUCCAGUCUAUAAAGAACUUUCCACUGCUUUUAACUCGACCAGCAGCUUGUUCAAGCACUUGAACAGGAAAUAUUGUAGGACAAUACUCGUCACCAAGGACACUGGCACCCAGAAACACGGCGGCCCAACUCAACCUAAACAGGCUAAAUUGGAUUUUUGUGCAGGAUCAGGAGUGAAGUUAACUUCUGAAUAUGAAGAGAAGUGUAGCUGCUUAUGCCAUUCACAUAUCUCAUCUUUAGUGUGCUAGAUCGCAUUGGGAUUGCGUAUUGUGAGCACUCUCAUUUCCCAAGUUCACCAAGUUAAAAACCACAAGGCACACGGCAAGAACUGAUGGAUGAGCUUUAGGCUAUGUGUGGAUUCUACAUUUCUGUAGUCUAAUUACCUCAGACAAACUCAGAACCCGCAAACACUGCAGUGUUUUUUCAUACUAUGGGUGUCGGUGGUUACAGGAAUUCAGUUUUCUUCUAAAUGUGUUAUUUUGUGUUAAAAAAAGAAAAAAAGACAAACAGGUUUGGAAGAAGUGAAUGAUGAGAAAAUUGUAAGUUUUAAGUUAUAACAUUUUUUUUUAAGAAAAUGAUUCUGUUCAUUAAGUCGACAUUUAAAAAAUGUAAAAAGAAAAUUGUUUAAUAUUUAUUGAAAUUGUAAAUAACUGAUUUCUCAUUGUAUGUAGUGUCAAAUGAAAUAAUUACUCCAGUCAUUGCUUUUAUUACUAUUAACAUUAUUAAUAAUUAAUAUUAGAGUGAUUUCUGAAUGAUCAUGUGACUCUGAAGACUAGAGUAACGAAGCUAAAAAAAAUCAUCAUUAAAAUUACUGAAUUAAAUGAUUAAAUAAAAUGAUAAACUGCUUUUGAACAGUUAUUUUACAGUGCAAUAAUAUCUCACAAUUUUACAAUGUGUUCUGUAUUUUUGAUAAAAUAAAUGCAGCCUCGGUGAGCAGGAGAAGCUGAUUUUAAAAAAGUAUAAGAAUCUGACAGACCCGAAAACUUUGACCAGUAGUUUGUGUUGAAUUGUUUGUGUGUAUUAUAUCAUCUUUGCAUCAAAUAUAUGAUAUUUAUAUUUAUCUAACAAUAAUUUCUAUUUUUUAUUUUUUACUUUGUAUGUUGUAAAAAUGUUUUAUAAGUCUUUAUUUGUCCACAUUUUGUUCAGUAAUUGUUUUAUCUGAAUGUUAUUUGUAUUGAUUAAAGUAAGUUUGAUUGUA
ensembl:lincRNA